rnacentral:misc_RNA from 1 species
CAGAGUUCAUGCCCUCACGGGUAGAUCUCCCACCCUUGAAUAUUUUAUACCUUUGUUGCUUUGGCGGGCCGCUUCGGCUACCGGCUUCGGCUGGUGAGUGCCCGCCAGAGGACCCCAAAUUCUUUAUUGUUAGUGUCGUCUGAGUACUAUAAAAUAGUUA